rnacentral:ncRNA from 1 species
UGGAUAGAGGUUGCGUGUUUCAACAGUAGGCAGCAGAGAUGCGGCAGGCGCAGAAGAAGGCUGCUGAAAGGGGAAUACGCCGAAAGGAGCAGAGUCCUGCGGUCUGGUCCUUGGGCGUAAGCUGAAGAAGUUUACGACUGUCAUCGGAAGAUGGAGAGCUAUCUGAU